UACGAAGGGGGCUAGCGUUGCUCGGAAUCACUGGGCGUAAAGCGCACGUAGGCGGAUUGUUAAGUCAGGGGUGAAAUCCUGGAGCUCAACUCCAGAACUGCCUUUGAUACUGGCGAUCUCGAGUCCGGGAGAGGUGAGUGGAACUGCGAGUGUAGAGGUGAAAUUCGUAGAUAUUCGCAAGAACACCAGUGGCGAAGGCGGACUCACUGGCCCGGUACUGACGCUGAGGUGCGAAAGCGUGGGGAGCAACAGGAUUAAGAAACCCUGUACGU
rnacentral:rRNA from 1 species